UCCCAAAAUUCUUGUCUUAGAUUUGUCUAGAUACGGAUGUAUCAAGUCACAUUUUAGUAUUAGAUACAUCCGUAUCUAGACAAAUCUAAGACAAGAAAUUUGGGA
rnacentral:pre_miRNA from 1 species